rnacentral:rRNA from 1 species
AAAACGACUCUCGGCAACGGAUAUCUCGGCUCUCGCAUCGAUGAAGAACGUAGCGAAAUGCGAUACUUGGUGUGAAUUGCAGAAUCCCGUGAACCAUCNAGUCUUUGAACGCAAGUUGCGCCCAAAGCCUUUUGGUUGAGGGCACGUCUGCCUGGGUGUCACAN